GUGUACGUCUUCGCCGCGGGCUGGUCCGCGCUUUCCCUGCUACGUUUCUUUCUCGAGGGACUGUUCCCUUCCUUUGGUUUCGUGGUCUCUGCGGCUUGGGUCCGGAAACUGCUGAAAGGAACUGGAUCUCAACUCUGCGGGUGCAGGCAGGAGGCGGCGGGGAGCUGAAGCAGAACGACCUGAAGAGAGUUCCUGGAUGUGGAGUUUGUUUUUUUAGAACCAUCCUUGGGCUGUGAAGUGUUUGAUGAAAAAAUGUUUGGAAGAUUGACUUUUCCACAACUGCUUUUUGCUAGCCUCCUUGGAAUUGCUGGAGGAAUAUAUAUUUAUCAACCAAUAUUUGAACAGUAUUCCAGAGAUCAGAAGGAGUUAAAAGAAAAGAUGAAAUUGGUACAAGACUCAGAAGAGAAGAAAAGUUGAUACUACAUGGAGUUGAACUGUACUGUUGCUGCUGCUGCUGCUGUUACUGCUGCUGCUGUUGCUGUUGCUGUUGCUGCUGCUGCUGCUGCUAAAUAGCCAUUCAAAUCAAAGCUAUAGUGAGAUGCUACUUCACAUACACUAGGAUGACUGCUGUCAAAGAGAGAGGAAGUAGUAAGUGUUGAUGGGAAUGUGAAGAAGUUGAAACCCUUGAAUAUUGCUGGUGAGGAUAUAAAACAAGUUUGGCCGUUGUGAAAGUUUGGAGUUCCUCAGAAGAACAUACAGUGUUACCAUAUGACCCAGCGAUUCUGCUUUUAGAUGUGUAUCCCAGAGUAGUGAAAACAUGUCUGGAUAAACAUCUGUAAAUGAAUACUCAAAGCAUCAUUAUUAUAAUAGCCCCAAAGUGGAAAUAAUCCAAAUGUCUCAGCCAGUGAACACAUAAACAUAUGGUAUAUCCACGCAAUGGAAUAUUACUUGGUUGAGCACAAAAGGCCACAUAUUGUGUGAUUCUAUUUAUAUGACAUGUCCAGGAUAGGUAAAUGCAUAGAGACGAAGUGGAUUAGUAUUAAAUAUUUCCCAGUGAUUAAGGGGAAGAAGGUAUAGGGAGUGACUGCUAAUGGAUAUAGCGUUACUCUUUAGUAUAAUGAAAAUGUUUUGGAACUAGA